AUCGCAGUUUUAUCAUCUCUAUGUAUAAAAUACAACACUUGCUUGUCAGAGAUUCUUAGUUCUUUAUUUUCGUUAAAUGGCGGCGAACGUUAGUAAAACAAGUCUCGUACAAAAUUAAAAAAUUUAGUGGUAAAAAGUGCACGGUUUUUUAAGAAAAUUACAUAAUUUUAUAAAUAAAAGUAUUAGUUUUAUGUGUAUAUAAUUAGAUUUUCCGAAAGUUAUAUAUUUUUUAUGAAAAUUGUAUCUAAAGUUUGGUUCGAAAAAGUGCAGUGUGUGUGAGAAUUUUUCAGUUUGUUGCUGUUAGUGUUGUGAGUUUUGUUCAUGAGUAGAAGUGCAUGUAAUCGGUUAUUUUCCUAUAGGAACGGUUCAAGUAAACAAAUGUUACGAACUUUAGUUUAAAAAAUUAAAUAAAAUAGUAAAAUAUAUAAAAGAAAAGAAAAAAAAUUAAAUAUAUAUAAAAUUGUAUACAUAUGUAAAUAAAAAAUGGAAAAAAAUCGGUUACCUUUUAAUAGGAACAAUCGUAAUGCACAAAAAUUAUUGAUGAACUUUAGCUUAGAUUUCUUUACCAUUAGUUUCCAAUAAGAAUUGGCAUCGAAGAAUAAAUCUGCAAAACUAAAACCGAUAAUGGUAACAAAACGAUAGGCAAUAUAUAACAUAUUUAAGGUAAAUCAUGCUAUUAAUUGAAUUUCAUAAGGUACGUACAGCAUAUUCAAUACUAAACGAAUUCUGACUAAUAGAAAAUAUUAAUUCCCCUAAUGCCACAAAAAUAUGUGCUUACAAAACUACUUACUUUUAAAUGACUACUACUUCUCGUCUGCAUUGCUUUUAAGAUGUAUGUAUAUACUUAUGUCUAUCUAUAUGAACUGAUCCUCAUAAAGUUUGGUAGAAAGAAUUUUGCUUAUAUGAAACUUAUUUAUGUAGAAUUUCAUUUAUUAAUUUUUAAAACAGUUAUAAUUGUUAAAGCUGUUUCUCUUCGGGGUGCUACUUGUAUGGAGGCUAUUCGAAAACAUUGACCGAUAUUGCCCAUUUUUAAUACUAAAUACACCUUACCUGUAUCAAUUACUUGUUUCCGUUCGAACUCUAUAGUGCUUUCAAGUGACGGACGGACAGAUAUGGGUAUAUAAUAUUAGAAUUAAAUAAUGACCCAGAAUAUAUAUAUUUCUGUGGGUCUAUGAUCAAUAUUUCGAUGUGUUCAAAAAGGAAAGACAAAAUCAAUAUACGCACAUCUUUUUUGAUGAUGGGCUAUACAAAUUUUAUAAUCACGCUAUGAUUUAGACCAUAUAAAUAUUAUAUAAAAGUCCCACAUUGAGUUUUAGAGUUUGACAAUAGUAAGGUAGAUUCUGAUCUGAUUCUUAUGAA